rnacentral:rRNA from 1 species
GACGAACGCUGGCGGCGUGCUUAACACAUGCAAGUCGAACGGAAAGGCCCUGCUUGCAGGGUACUCGAGUGGCUAACGGGUGAGUAACACGUGGGUGAUCUGCCCUGCACUUCGGGAUAAGCUUGGGAAACUGGGUCUAAUACCUGAUAGGAGCCAUCUUUAGUGUGGUGGUUGGAAAGUUUUUUCGGUGUAGGAUGAGCUCGCGGCCUAUCAGCUUGUUGGUGGGGUAAUGGCCUACCAAGGCGGCGACGGGUAGCCGGCCUGAGAGGGUGUACGGCCACAUUGGGACUGAGAUACGGCCCAGACACCUACGGGAGGCAGCAGUGGGGAAUAUUGCACAAUGGGCGCAAGCCUGAUGAAGAGACGCCGCGUGGGGGAUGAAGGCCUUCGGGUUGUAAACUCCUUGCGCUAGGGAAGAAGCUUUGUUGUGACGGUACCUAGAUAAGAAGCAACGGCUAACUACGUG